CCCUUCAUUUGGUCAAGGGGA
rnacentral:snRNA from 1 species